rnacentral:tRNA from 1 species
GCUGUGGUAGCUCAGUUGGUAGAGCAGCUGAUUCGUAAUCAGCAGGUCAUGGGUUCGAAUCCCAUCCUCAGCUCCA